UGAGCAAUCUGCCCUUCUCAUCGGAAUAAGCGUUGGAAACGACGUCUAAUGCCGAAUACGACCUCCUUUCGCAUGAUCGGAGGUGGAAAGCUCCGGCGGAGAAGGAUGAGCUCGCGGCCUAUCAGCUUGUUGGUGAGGUAAUGGCUCACCAAGGCGACGGACGGGUAGCCGGCCUGAGGAGGGCGAUCGGCCACACUGGGACUGAGACACGGCCCAGACCGUCUACGGGU
rnacentral:rRNA from 1 species